ensembl:lncRNA
UGUAUUUCAGGAGCUCGAUGUUCCAUUGGUCUGACACGGAAACCACUUCCAUAAAGAGGACCCAGUGCUUCUGCUGAUGUAUCAUCCGACACCAUAAAUACCGUGUUUCAUGUUUCACUGCCUGUUGCUUGCCACUGUCUUCCCUUCUUCCUCCAGGUGUGUCCUGCCCUCUUCCUCUUCCUUUGAUAGGGUGUGAAGCACAACAACAGCCAAGAUGUCGGAAAAAAAGAUGACGUCGAGUCGCAGGCAUCAUCUGAAGGUAAACGAAUACAAUGAAUUGUGGUCUAUUGUCUGAAAGAAUCAUCACAGGCACACCAAUACCCAGCACUUGAGUAGAUUAGUUUGGCUUCCACACGACUGGUUUAAAAACUUUUCACCUCUUUAAUACUUUAUAUAACUUUUUUUUUACCCCUGUUUGGUAUACAAUUGGUAGUUACAGUCUUGUCCCAUCGAUGCAACUCCCGUAUGGGAGAGGUGAAGGUCGAGAGCCGUCCUCCGAAACACAACCCAGCCAAGCCGCACUGCUUCUUGACACAAUGCCCGCUUAACCCGGGAAGCCAGCCGUACCAAUGUGUCGGUGGAAACACCGUACACGUGGCGACCAUGUCAGCAUGCAAUGUGUCCGGCCCGCCACAGGAGUCGCUAGUGUGCAAUGGGACAAGAGCAUCCCUGCCGGCCAAGCCCUCCCCUAUCCCGGAUGAUGCUGGGCCAAUUGUGCCCCACCCCAUGGGUCUCCCGGUCGCGGCUGGAUGCAACAGAGCCUGGUUUCGAAACAGGAUCUCUAGUGGCACAGCUAGCACCGUGAUGCAGUGCCUUAGACCACUUCCCCACUUGGGAGGCCCCUCUUUAAUACUUUAAAGGGGAAAUCUGCACUUCAAACAAUAACACAGUGAACACCUCACCACUGUUUUGGUAAAAAGCUAAGGGAUGGUCCCGCAUGGCUUACUUAGUUGGUAGAGCAUGGUGCUUGCAACUCCAGGGUUGUGGGUUUAAAUCCCACGGGGGACUGGUACAAAAAAAGAAAAGUACAACAAUUUAUGCACUUACUGUAAGUCGCUCUAGGUAAGAGCAUCUACUAAAUUACUAAAACGUGUGGUUUUUCCAUAAAUAAAACAAUGUGGUUGGGCCUGGAGACUGUAACCACUCUCAAAUUCAUAGACAGAGCUAUGGGUUCAAGGACCCUUCAUGAUAACAAAAUUAGACUAUUUUUGGGGGCUAUUCAAUGUUUGUUUGCAGUUAACAUUAUUUUCAAACAAUGGAGUAAACAAGCAUAUACUUUGGCUUCUGAUGGGGCAUGACAGUUGAGCUAAGUUCAUGAGGCAUUUAUAGCAUUUAUAUUUACAGUAGGCCUACUGGUCUUCUUGGCCUGUAAGAAAAUAUAAAGGUUCACCUAUUGAGUGUUAUUCACUUGUUCUACAAAUAAAGAAAUAAUCUUAGCUAGCCAUAAAACAUAGGAAAUGUUAGGCUACUCUUAUACCAGCAUAACCACCUUCUAAAAAAAUGGAAUAUACAGUCAUUUGGCAACUUUAAAUAAUGUUAUUUUGAAUUUAAUUCAAAAUACAACACAAUUUAGUUUCAAAUGUCAAAUGUGUAGCCUACAGUUCGGGAAUAUUUAAUUUCCCACUUUUGAUAAGAAAUGUCCAGAUUAGAUUCAGACAAGUAAAAUCAUUAAUGAAUUACAUACAUACAUCAGAAACUUUUUUUUUUUUCACACACACGAUUUUUCCAUUCAUACAAUGUGUGGGGUAUGAUAUAUUGCCAUAGUAGAUUUGCCAUGGUAAAUUAAAAAAUGAAAUACUUUAGUUCAGUAAUACAGAAUUGCUAUAUAGAUAAACCGGCUAAGGUAAAAUUGCCGGAUCAAAUUGUUCCGAUGAUAAUACUCACCAGAGGGCAACAUCUUCUUGAAAAAUGUUGGUUGCAAUAAGGACUAAAAGCCCAGAAGAAGCGAGAGGGAUAACCUGUCUUCUCUAGCAGGUGGUGUUUUAUCAUUAUUUUUUUUUCUCUCACCAAGUGAUUCGUUGAGAAAGUGUUGAAUUUGGUUAACAAAACUGUAAUGGCUUAUUUUCUAUGUGUGGCUUAUUUGAUCGAAUAGAAGUUUCACAGUGAUAAGACUGUUAGGAGUGUUUUGAUAUAUGUAGGACAAGUGACAUCUCAGCAACUUUGAGAUAAAAAAAACACUUUAUAUCAGAGUUGUGCUUGGUCACCAAUAGUUACUACAGCCACAAAGUCCUAAACCCUGCCCAUUUCUAAAAUGUAUUUUCAUAAAAGGUCAUUUUCAACCUAACUUUGACCACACUGCUAACCUUGCGCCUAACCUUAAAUUAAGACCAAAAAGCAAAUGUUUGCUUUCAUGAAUCUUUACAAUAUAGCCAAUUGUGACUUUGUGGCUGUGAUAAUUAGUGGAAUCCGAUGUGCCUGUUGUUCACACAUGUUUCUGCCACUCAUUGGCUAGAAUGUUCCCACCUGAUCGUGCCUCCUCCCAACUCCCUUCCAUGAAGACAUUUAUUUUCAUUGUUAGAGCAGCCACUAGACCCUAUCUGGUCAAUAUAAUGGAAAAUCUGUGCUAAAAAAUUAUCCUAACAUCUGAGUUACGGAGUUGUAAAUCAGUUGCCAAUGUUGUUGCAGUUGAAAUUAGCUGCUCGGGUUAAGUCAGUGCAUAUUGAUGGUUUAACAAGAGACACACUGGAGAUAAUCUAGUGGCCAAAAUGCAUUGUGAAAGGCCCAAUGGGUAUACAGUAUAUUAUUGAUUUAAAAGUCCAAACAUGUAUGUAGCAAUCAAAGAUUUCCACUUUAAGUCACAUUUUGUUCUCCAAUACUAUGUUGUAGACUGGGUUUGGCCAUACUGUGUUUCUUUGUUCUCCAGAGCUUGGUGCUCCAGAUAGCAUUUGAGCUGAUUGAAGUCGAGAAAAAGGAGGCUGAGCAGGUGAAAAACAAUUUCAUGGCUGAGAUCCCUGGCCUGGAUUUGUCUGGAGAUCAUGCGACGCUGAUGGUACGAUACUAGUCAUUCAUUCGUUUACACAUGCUUUGCACAUCUAGUCCAAUGUUCUAGGCCUGCAGUGUACCAUUGGUGGUUCUUGUAAUAAGGAAUGUGUAUUUGCAUACAAAGUACACAGACUCCAAUUCCUUCACUCUAAAUAACUGUUGCCUGGAGAGACUGAUUCCUUCAGGAGAAGAUAGUUUGUGUUACAAAUUCUAUGACUGAUGUGUUUGUGUACCAACAGGAAAUGCUCAAAAAGAUGGCCCAUACCAUUGACAAGAUUGAUGAGGACAGAUAUGAUGCAGAAGCAAAAGUGAUGAAGGCUGACAAAGAGGUAGAUUGCUUUGUAUUUUGUAUCUUUCCUCAUAUUGAAACAUAUAUUGCAAAUCUAAUCUUUCUCCUGACUUUCUCACUUCCCAGAUUGAGGACUUGAAGAUGAAAGUGAUUGAGAUCCAGGGCAUGAAGAAGCCAGCCCUGAAGAAAGUGCGUAUGUCUGCUGAUGCUAUGCUCCAGGCUCUGCUGGGCACCAAGCACAAGGCUUCCAUGGAUUUCAGAGCCAACUUGAAAGAAGUGAAGAAGGAGGUCAAAGAGGAGGCAGCGGAUGCAGUUGGUGACUGGCGCAAGAACGUUGAUGAACAGGCUGGCAUGGACGGCAGGAUGAAAAAGUUUCAGGGUUAAACACAGCUGUCUUUUGUCGUAUUGUGGUACAGAGAUGGAUUUAUAUGACCUUGUUGUUAGGAAUCCCUGCAGGAAGAGGAUCUUUGAUCCGAAAUGCUGUUAUUUUUUUUAUACUGUAGCUGUUCAACUAUUCGACACUAUGGUUUUGGAUCUCUUUCUCUCUCUGUCUCGCUCUCUUCGCCAAAUAAAACAAUAAAAAAUGUUUAAAAAGCUUGUGAAA